rnacentral:rRNA from 1 species
CCUACGGGAGGCAGCAGUGGGGAAUAUUGGGCAAUGGAGGAAACUCUGACCCAGCGACGCCGCGUGCGGGAUGAAGGCCUUCGGGUUGUAAACCGCUUUCAGUAGGGAAGAAGCGAAAGUGACGGUACCUACAAAAGAAGCACCGGCUAACUAUGUGCCAGCAGCCGCGGUAAUACAUAGGGUGCAAGCGUUGUCCGGAAUUAUUGGGCGUAAAGAGCUCGUAGGUCGUUUGUUACGUCGGAUGUGAAAACCUGAGGCUCAACCUCAGGCCUGCAUUCGAUACGGGCAAACUAGAGUUUGGUAGGGGAGACUGGAAUUCCUGGUGUAGCGGUGGAAUGCGCAGAUAUCAGGAGGAACACCAAUGGCGAAGGCAGGUCUCUGGGCCAAUACUGACACUGAGGAGCGAAAGUCUGGGGAGCGAACAGGAUUAGAUACCCUGGUAGUCCAGACCGUAAACGGUGGGCACUAGUUGUGGGAACCUUCCACGGUUUCUGCGACGCAGCUAACGCAUUAAGUGCCCCGCCUGGGGAGUACGAUCGCAAGNUUAAAACUCAAAUGAAUUGACGGCUGAGAGNGCGAGCGACACGAGGAGAGG